rnacentral:rRNA from 1 species
UACGGAAGGCAGCAGUGGGGAAUAUUGCACAAUGGGCGCAAGCCUGAUGCAGCCAUGCCGCGUGUAUGAAAAAGGCCUUCGGGUUGUAAAGUACUUUCAGUCGUGAGGAAGGUGUUAAGGUUAAUAACCUUAGCAAUUGACGUUAGCGACAGAAGAAGCACCGGCUAACUCCGUGCCAGCAGCCGCGGUAAUACGGAGGGUGCGAGCGUUAAUCGGAAUUACUGGGCGUAAAGGGCACGCAGGCGGUUAAUUAAGUUGGAUGUGAAAUCCCCGGGCUUAACCUGGGAAUGGCAUUCAAGACUGGUUAGCUAGAGUCUUGUAGAGGGGGGUAGAAUUCCAUGUGUAGCGGUGAAAUGCGUAGAGAUGUGGAGGAAUACCGGUGGCGAAGGCGGCCCCUGGACAAAGACUGACGCUCAUGUGCGAAAGCGUGGGGAGCAAACAGGGAUUGGAUACCCGU